UUGGGAAUCGUUGUCAAUGGGGGAAACCCUGAACACGCGACACCGCGUGGUGGAUGAAGGCCUUAGGGUCGUAAACACCUUUUGCACGGAAAGACUUAGGACGGUACCGUGCGAAUAAGCUCCGGCUAACUACGUGCCAGCAGCCGCGGUAAGACGUAGGGAGCAAGCGUUGUCCGGAUUUACUGGGCGUAAAGAGCACGUAGGCGGACUGUUAAGUGUGAAGUGAAAUCUCCAGCGCUCAACGCGGAAAUUGCUUCGCAUACUGGCAGACUAGAGGGUUGCAGAGGUAACUGGAAUUCCCGGUGUAGCGGUGACAUGCAUUGAUAUCGGGAGGAACUCCUAUGGCGAAGGCAGGUUACUGGGCUUCUCCUGACGCUGAGGUGCGAAAGCGUGGGUAGCAAACAGAAUUAGAUACUCUGGUAGUCCACGCCCUAAACGAUGGAUACUAGACGUAAGAGGUAUCGACCCCUCUUGUGUCGCAGCUAACGCAUUAAGUUCCCCGCCCGGGGGA
rnacentral:rRNA from 1 species